AUUGAACGCUGGCGGCAGGCCUAACACAUGCAAGUCGAACGAGUGGCGGACGGGUGAGUAAUGUCUGGGAAACUGACCGAUGGAGGGGGAUAACUACUGGAAACGGUAGCUAAUACCGCAUACCAUCGGAUGUGCCCAGAGGGGAUUAGCUAGUAGGUGGGGUAACGGCUAACCUAGGCGACGAUCCCUAGCUGGUCUGAGAGGAGGACCAGCCCAUCUGGAAAUGAGACACGUUCCAGAGUCCUACGUGAGGCAGCAGUGGGGAAUAUUGCAAAAUGGGUGCAAGCCUGAUGCAGCCAUGCCGCGUGUAUGAAGAAGGCCUUCGGGUUGCAAAGUACUUUCAGCGAGGAGGCGUUACUCGCAGAAGAAGCACCGGCUAACUCCGUGCCAGCAGCCGCGGUAAUUG
rnacentral:rRNA from 1 species